CCGAGUGAGGGCCCUCUGGGUCCAACCUCCCACCCGUGUCUAUCGUACCUUGUUGCUUCGGCGGGCCCGCCGUUUCGACGGCCGCCGGGGAGGCCUCGCGCCCCCGGGCCCGCGCCCGCCGAAGACCCCAACAUGAACGCUGUUCUGAAAGUAUGCAGUCUGAGUUGAUUAUCAUAAUCAUGUUAAAACUUUCAACAACGGAUCUCUUGGUUCCGGCAUCGAUGAAGAACGCAGCGAAAUGCGAUAAGUAAUGUGAAUUGCAGAAUUCAGUGAAUCAUCGAGUCUUUGAACGCACAUUGCGCCCCCUGGUAUUCCGGGGGGCAUGCCUGUCCGAGCGUCAUUGCUGCCCUCAAGCACGGCUUGUGUGUUGGGCCCCGUCCCCUCCCCCGGGGACGGGCCCGAAAGGCAGCGGCGGCACCGCGUCCGGUCCUCGAGCGUAUGGGGCUUUGUCACCCGCUCUGUAGGCCCGGCCGGCGCCAGCCGACACCCAACUUUAUUUUCUAAGG
rnacentral:misc_RNA from 1 species